rnacentral:rRNA from 1 species
AAAAGAACUCUGAAUAGAGAGUUAAAUAGUACGUGAAACUGCUUAGAGGUUAAACCCGAUGAACCUGAAUAUCCAAUAUAAAGAAUUCAUCAUUAAUACAUUAAUUAUUAUUAAUGUAAUGGUGUGCAUUUUCUUUAUAUAAAUGGACAUUGUAAUCUAUUAAUAUUAUAUUUAUCAUAAGAUCAUAUGAAUAUGUUUAUUUUAAUUAAUUUGUUUCGGCUUAUUAAUUUUAAAAUAAUAUCUAAUGAUUUGAUAAAGUAUUGAUAGAUUUAAUCAUAUGUAUAAUGCUUAAAUUCAUUUAUGAAUUUUAUAAUAUAGUAAUAUAUUAUAAGCAUUUAUACGAUUUACAAUGCGAAAGAUUCAGGAUACCUUCGGGAC